CGCGGCCUAUCAGCUUGUUGGUGGGGUGAUGGCCUACCAAGGCGACGACGGGUAGCCGGCCUGAGAGGGCGACCGGCCACACUGGGACUGAGACACGGCCCAGACUCCUACGGGAGGCAGCAGUGGGGAAUAUUGCACAAUGGGCGGAAGCCUGAUGCAGCGACGCCGCGUGAGGGAUGACGGCCUUCGGGUUGUAAACCUCUUUCAGCCCCGACGAAGCGCAAGUGACGGUAGGGGCAGAAGAAGCGCCGGCCAACUACGUGCCAGCAGCCGCGGUAAGACGUAGGGCGCGAGCGUUGUCCGGAUUUAUUGGGCGUAAAGAGCUCGUAGGCGGCUUGUUGCGUCGACUGUGAAAACCCACGGCUCAACCGUGUGGUCUGCAGUCGAUACGGGCAGGCUAGAGUUCGGUAGGGGAGACUGGAAUUCCUGGUGUAGCGGUGAAAUGCGCAGAUAUCAGGAGGAACACCGGCGGCGAAGGCGGGUCUCUGGGCCGAUACUGACGCUGAGGAGCGAAAGCGUGGGGAGCGAACAGGAUUAGAUACCCUGGUAGUCCACGCUGUAAACGUUGGGCGCUAGGUGUGGGGGGCCUCUCCGGUUCUCUGUGCCGCAGCUAACGCAUUAAGCGCCCCGCCUGGGGAGUACGG
rnacentral:rRNA from 1 species